UUUAUAAUGAGAUAAAUGGAUAGCGAUGCUCGGUGAGGCUUGGUGUCAUUCUAGAGCUAUUUCUAUGUUAAUGGCAAUGAGAAGAGAAGUGUCUGUCACCACUGGAAAGGAGUGAUGUAAAAUAUGCCAGUUGCCACGCAGCCAUGGUGGAAGGCCCCAUAUCCAUAAAGAGGUACAGCUUAGCCCUCGGGUAUGCUGAGAAUGAAGAGAGAAAGGACAACUAGGAGAGGCUGGCCGUCUGUCCACAGAGAAUGACAGGAAUGGAAGGGAGACUUUUCAGCUUAGGGAGGAAGGACAUUUAUGCUGAAAUAUUUCCUGAAACUCUGGUUUGUGUCUAAAGGAGAAAAUCUGCUGCGAACCUGCUGCGAACCUGAAUUCUGUGAGUGGAGAGUUAUUUCCGAAAGAGCCGGACCUGAUGAAAGGCCCAGAUCUGCAGUUCCAAAUGGACCCACUUACAUUCUCAUCAGAAACUGAUGGCCAUUCUGCUGCGCUUCGCUAACCUAGAGAGAGACACCGCGAGAGAGGGAACACAAGCAGGGGAAGUGGGAGAGGGAGAAGCAGGCUUCCUGCUGAGCCGGGAGCCCGAUGUGGGACUCGAUCCCAGGACCCUGGGAUCAUGACCUGAGCGGAAGGCAGACGCUUAACGACUGAGCCACCCAGGCGCCCUGGACACAGUAUUUUAAUAGGUUUGUAAAUAUUAAAUGUUCCUUGUAUUCAUGGAUGAUUCUUUACAUAGUUAUGUUGUAUAUUUAUUUGAAUAUAUUGUGGAUUCAAUUUCACAGAUAAUUGCUUUUAAGUUUGUAAUUGAUUUAUGCUUUCCCUUUAUUUUGUGCUCCUUUUCCAGUCAUUUAGAAGGUAGUUGAAAUAUCUCUUAAAAGAUUUGAAGGAACUCACCUGGAAAAUUAUCUGUGCCAUGAUCUGUUUUGGACUUAAUUAUUUGACAAUUCUUUGACAUUUUCAAAUUUUUUCCUGCCUGAAAAUUUUCAAAGCUCUCAUUUCAUUUUGGGCUAGUUUUGAUCAUUUCUAUUUGCUUAUUAAAGUGUCCCAUUCCUUUAAGAUUUUAAAUCCAUGUACAUGGACUUUAUAUAUAUAUAUAUAUAAAAUUCUCUAUUUAAAAAAAAAAA